AUGCUGGAGGACCAGCGGUGGCUCCAGCAGGAGGUCCAGAGCCUGGUCAGACAUCCCCAAAAAUUCCCAAAAAUUCCCCAAAAAUUCCCAAAAAUUCCCAAAAAUCCAUCGGGAAUCGGCUCCUCCUGGGAUGGGUUGGGUGAGGAUCACAGACAGCUCACGGUUCCUCCAGGGUUCCUGGAGAGUUCCAGGAUGGGUUGGGUGGUCAGGGACUCAAAGGAGAUGCUGGAGGACCAACAGUGGCUCCAGCAGGAGGUCCAGAGCCUGGUCAGACAUCCCCAAAAAAUUCCCAAAAAAUUCCCCAAAAAUUCCCCAAAAAUUCCCCAAAAAUUUCCCCAAAAUUCCCAAAAGUUUCCCCCAAAUCAUUGGGUAUUGCCCCUCGUGGGAUGGGAUCACGCCAUGGUUCCAAUCCCGAUGUUCUGCGGUUCCUCCAAGGUUCCUGGACCAUUCCAGGAUGGGUUGGGUGGUCAGGGACUCAAAGGAGAUGCUGGAGGACCAGCAGGAGGUCCAGAGCCUGGUCAGUCAUCCCAAAAAAUUCCCCAAAAAUUUCCCCAAAAUUCCCAAAAGUUUCCCCAAAAAAUUCCCAAAAAAUUCCCCAAAAUUUCCCCAAAAAUUCCUCAGGAAUUGCCCCUUGUGGGAUGGGAUCUCACCAUGGUUCCAAUCCCGAUGGUUCUCAGUUCCUCCAGGGCUCCUGAACAAUUGGGUGGUCAGGGACUCAAAGGAGAUGCUGGAGGACCAGCGGUGGCUCCAGCAGGAGGUCCAGAGCCUGCUCCUCCCGGAGAAGGAGACGGAUUACACACAAUUCACGGGGCCGCCCCAGAAGCCGCCAAGACUCGGGGCUCAGGUAAGACCCGGCCUGGAUCCGGGAUCGGGAUCGGGAUCAGGGAUCGGGAUCCCACCGGGAAAUCCCAAAGAAUUCCAGGAUGGUUUGGGCGGGAAGGGACCUUGAAGAUCCAACUUUUCCUUGGACAUUCCCAGGGAUUCUCUGGGUCCAGGAAUUCCUUCCCAAAAUCCCAAAAUCCCAAAAUCCCAAAAUCCCAACCCUGUCCUGCCAUUCCAAGCCCUUUUCCCAAAUCCCUCUGGGUUGGAUCCAUCCCCAUCCCGACUCCUCCUUGAGAAGGAAUUUUGGGAUUCAGGAAUUUUCCUGGGAAUUCAGGACUCCAGGAAGGGUCUCCCUUCCCUUUUCCAUCCCUGAAUUCCAUAAAAAUCCCUUGGGAUGGAUCCUGAGUGUCCUUGAUCCCAGAAUCCCGGAAUGGUUUGGGAUGGGAUCCAUGGACCUUCAAUCCCACCCCAUUCCAUGGGCACGGAAUUCCAGGUUCCUCCAAUCCCCAUCCCAGGGAUGGGACCGUCUUUCCCAUUUUUUCUGGAAUUCCUGAUCCCAUUAUCCCUGUUUUUCCUGUUUUCCCAGAAUUCCUGAUCCCGUUAUCCCUGUUAACCUAGAAUUCCUUAUCUCUGUUAUCCCAGAAUUCCUGAUCCCGUUUUCCCUCUUAUCCCAGAAUUCCUGAUCCUGUAAUCAUCCCGUUUUUCCCAGAAUUCCCAUUAUUCUGUUAUCCCUGUUUUUCCCAGAAUUCCCAAUCCCGUUAUCCCUGUUAUCCUGGGAUUCCCAAUCCUGUUAUCCCCGUUAUCCCGGAAUUCCUGAUCCCAUUAUCCCAUUUUUCCUGGAAUUUCUGAUGCCGUUACCCCUGCUAUCCUGGAAUUCCCAUGAUCCCAUUAUCCCUGUUAUCUCUGUUUUCCCGGAAUUCAUGAUCCCGUUUUCCCGCUUAUCCCAGAAUUCCUGAUCCUGUAAUCAUCCCAUUUUUCCCAGAAUUCCCAUUAUCCUGUUAUCCCUGUUUUUCCCAGAAUUCCCGAUCCCAUUUUCCCUGUUAUCCCGAAAUUCCUGAUCCCAUUUUCCCUGUUUUCCCAGGAUUCCCGAUCCUGUUAUCCCAUUUUUCCUGGCAUUCCCACCCCUUUAUCCCUGUUAUCCUGGAAUUCCUGAUCCCAUUAUCCCUGGUAUCCCAGAAUUUCUGAUCACGUUAUCCUGGCAUUCCCACCCUUUUAUCCCUGUUAUCCUGUUAUCUGGAUCCCGUUAUCCCUGUUAUCCCAGAAUUUCUGAUCCCGUUAUCCUGGCAUUCCCUAU
ensembl:lncRNA